rnacentral:rRNA from 1 species
AGAGUUUAAUCCUGGCUCAGGAUGAACGCUAGCUACAGGCUUAACACAUGCAAGUCGAGGGGGCAGCAUGAACUUAGCUUGCUAAGUUUGAUGGCGACCGGCGCACGGGUGAGUAACACGUAUCCAACCUGCCGAUUACUCGGGGAUAGCCUUUCGAAAGAAAGAUUAAUACCCGAUGGCAUAGUUCUUCCGCAUGGUAGAACUAUUAAAGAAUUUCGGUCAUCGAUGGGGAUGCGUUCCAUUA